AUCCAUCUGAGGAGUUUCAAAUAGGAUGAAACGGGCGUCAUGGAU
rfam:Schistosoma mansoni strain Puerto Rico chromosome 2, complete genome